UUUCCCUAUAAAAGAUGUGAUCACUUCCGGAAUAAACGGGGGCUUGAUCGGAUUCUCUCUCAACUUGCUUCCAUCUCUCUUUGUCUGCGCUAUGUCUUUAAUCCCCGUUCCCCCUCCAGGUACACCCCACGGAUUGAUUCAUGGGCCAGAUCAAGUGGCGCCCAGCGUGUGGGCUCCUGGCACGGGGGAGUCAACGAGGGAGCUGUUUGAGAAAGCCGGCUUAAAGUAAAAGCGAAUUGAACCAGAGACCGCGGCAAGAACUGAGCAAACUAAAUCGAAGACUAAAGCUAAAAGCAAAAGGACAUUAAAUCAAGUACCGAGGCCUGUGCAGAUGACUACCCGACGUGCUCGCCCGAGUCACAGUGACACAACUCCCCAGAGCCCUAGGCUGCCUACUCAGCCUUCUCCUUGAGCUGUACCACACCCAUGGUGGAUUUAGACCCCCGCCAAACAGACUACAACUGCUGACAGCCAUGCACACAACCCCCUGUGACUGCGGAGGAGGCUUUUCUUGGUCUGGAGGAACAUAAACCAGCCAAAUAGAUUGCGUCCGGUGUUAUGCGAGGCAAGCUCCAAGAAAUAAAAGAAUGACUUCAACAUCGACAACAACAAACAGCUGCCAACCCCUUUUCCUCGAUGUGUGUGGCGGGGUGGGGGGAGGUUUUCCCUUACCUAGCGCCCCUUUUGGAUCCCCUAGCUGCCCUGUUGCUUCUCCUUUCUGUGAGUCCUUGUAUUUUUCAGAGGAUUAUGAUGCUCAUUAAUAACCAGAUAGAUGCGUUUAUGGCAAAACGCAUUCAGGUUCACUAUCAUCAGUUGGAGAUGGCAGAUCAACAAACCUACUGGGAAGGAAUUCCCAUAAAUGGCCCAUAUGAUGAUGUGGCCUAACUGUCCUGGGGCAAUGGACAGGCAGUCAGAGACGGGCAACUAGGACAUGCAUGUUAACUCCAUCAGCCACCUAAGACAGGCACAGGACCAACUGCUGUCCCACAAGCCCAUGACGGGUAAGGCCUGGUUGGGUUCAUGUAAUGAGGUCCUUGACCUAAGACAGACGCUGUCCUCACAGGGCCUGCCAUACUCCUGAUUAAAUAAAAUAGAAAGGGAGGAGAUGUAGGGAGCCGCGCGACAGCCCCAUUGCUGCCUCCCUGCCUCUCUCUCUCCUAUGGGCAUAAUGCGUUUGCCUACAUUAACCACAAUCCUCUCCUGCUUACGUCACAUACCCGGAUGUGACGAUGACCCUGUUGUAGUCAUCCCCAUAGCCUCUUCCUGUCCCACCAGCCCGCCCUUUCCCUAUAAAAGAUAUAAUCACUUCCAGAAUAAACGGGGGCUUGAUCAGA